rnacentral:lncRNA from 1 species
CCCUUCCCGGUACAGGACCCCCACCUUCGCUCCUGGGAGCCCCGCUGCACCCCAGGAGUUCCAUUCCAGCCUCCCCAGUGCGAGUGCGGCCGAGCGCUGACUUUUGGGGGCUCCCUCCCCCGUCUCACUGGGUCCCUCUGCGGCUCCCCCGCCCGCUGUCCCGGUUCAGACGUGGCUGCACCCCGGAGGGGGGCGCCGGCCGAGACCUGAGACGUGGCGCUCCCUCUCUGCCGGCCUCGGCUUCAGUGCUUGAAUUUCAGCCACAUCCCUAAGCUGCCAUCUCAGACCAGAGGAACAGGGAGGGGGGCUUUCUGGAAAGAACAUCACCUGGAAGAAAUCAGGACAUGACUGUGGGCCAUGAGUGACCUUCAAAGGAAAGCCGGGUAUCUGUGGUCUUUAAGAUGUGGUAAGAUUGUAUUAAAAUUAUAGAAAAAAACCUCAAUCCAGAAAUCGUGGCCUCUUGACAUUUACAUCUUAACUGCAUUUUCCUACCAAUGAGAUGCAUUACAAUCAUCCUCCAUAAGUGUUCUCUUUUUACCCCUGUUUCCAUUCUUUUAGAUCCAUGACAUUUAAAAACUGAAGAAAUGGAAAGAUCAUCUGAUCAGGCCCAUCAGUCUUUUUCCUAAUGCUAAACAUUGGUACAAAGACGUGAAGUUUGAUGUCUCACUAAGAUUGCCUAGGGCUGCUUUAUUGCUCACCUACUUCAAAGUAUUGGGAAAACAUGAUUAUGGGUACAGGUGAUGCUGUGUUGCCCCCAGACAGGUUUCUUUUGUCAGGUUCUUUUGAUGGAUUAGGAACCUACAAGUGGGGAGAUUUUAGGGAAAUAGCCCCUCCACUUGGAUUUCAC